rnacentral:lncRNA from 1 species
UUCAGAACAGGAGUGCAUUCAGAAGCAUCCUCCGGCGAGGCUGGGAAGCUGCUCACAUCCCCGGAAAAUUCAGUGGGAGAAAAAGUUUAUGGAAGCGAGUAGGAGUUUAUUCAACAGUGUCUGAGCCCUUUCAGAACCAUGAGUUCACAAGGGCACGAAGUGCAGUAUAUAAAAAGAGGAUAAUGACUUGACUUGAGUGCAGGAAAAGGCCCAAUGAACAGAGCAGCCAAGCUUGCCCGGACGAGAAUAGAUGAAAGUUUGGAGAAGAGUCAAGAAGAAAUGGCAUUGUCUGCAUGACCGUCUGGAUUCCAGAAGCUUGCUUGAAACUCUUUCCGUGAUUAAGAAUUGUAGUCCCUCUCACAAUCUCAUCCAAGGAACAUCUGCUCAGAGAAGCCAGUCAAUAUUGUGGAGAAGUUCAAAGAAUGCAGACCAUUAGUAGUGUCAGCUUUACAACCAGGAGGUAAUGGCAUUAAAGGGAAUGGUCAUAAUACCCAACAAUAGUGACCUCAUUAACCAGUGAUUUAUCAUGAUGAAAAGACCUGUUUAACCUUUGGUCUCCACAAGCUUUCUCCUUUUAACAAAAAAGUCUAUUAUUUCAACUUG